CUUUUCCACUAGCACAUAGGAUUGCACUUGUUUACAUGUUUGUUUCCACCACAAAACAGCAGGCUACUCAGGGGUAAACAUCUUUUUUCUUUCUUCAAUCAGUGAAAAUUUAUUGGGCAUGUACUUACUUACAUGCAGGCAUUUUAGAAAGUGAGCCAAAGACGAGUAAGACAAUACCCCUGUUCCAAAGGAGCUUGCAGUUCAGGAGAGAAACAGGGCAGUCAUACGAUAAAAUAAUACAGAUCAGCAUGCACCAAAGAAGAGAGGAAGGGUAUAUAACCUACACUGGGAGGUCAGGAAAGCUUCCCAGAAAUUAUAAUGUUUGAGCUGUAUUUGGAGGGGGAGAAAACAUUUCACUUAUUUUAUAUGAAGAUCAUAAACAGAACUUCAGACCCAAAGUUGUCUAGCUGCAGCUGAUGGCCACACAGCCACGGCCAAGCAUUAUAAACGGGAAGGCUCAGAUCAAAUGGAUUAUUUCUGAGUCUGGAUAUUGGGUAGCUAACACAUCUUGAGAGUUUUUUUUCCAGCUGGAAGUCAUCAUUUACAAAGCACUCUCGGGGACCAGCCUGGUGGCAUAGCGGUUAAGUUCGCAUGCUUUGCUUUGGCAGCCUGGGGUUCGUAGGUUUGGAUCCUGGGCGUGGACCUAGCACCGCUCAUCAGGCCACGCUAUGGCAGCAUCCCACGUGAAAUAGAGGAAGACUGGCACACAUUUUAGCUCAGUGACAAUCUUCCUCAAGCAAAAAGAGAAAGAUUGGCAACAGAUGUUAGCUCAGGGCCAAUCUUCCUCAAGCAAACAGAGGAAGAUUGGCAACAGACUAGCUCAGGGCCAAUCUUUGCUGCCUGCCCCUCCCCCUCCCUGACACACACAAAAGGAUACAAAGCACUCACUGGAAUAUACUAAUCAGGGGUCAGCCCCACGGCUGAGUAGCUUAAAGUUCUAUGUGCUCUGCUUCAGCUGCCUGGGGGGUUCGCGGGUUCGGAUCCCAGGUGCAGACCUAUUCCACUCGUCAGUCAUGCUGUGUAGGCAUCCCAUGUAAAAGGAGGGGAAGAUUAGCACAGAUACUAGCUCGGGGUUAAUCUUCCUCACGCAGAGAAAAAAAAGGGGGGGAUUGGCCAGGGAUGUUAGCUCAGGGUGAAUCUUCCUCACAAAGAAAAGAAAAAAAACAGAAAUAUACUAGUCAUCACUGAUUCUGCAGGCAGGGUUUAUAUGAAUGCCCCUAAAUUGUCACCCAGAAGAGCCUGAAGAUCAUGCUUCAACAUUUCCACCACGAGUCCUACUCUAUCCAGCUAUACUCACAUUUUCAGGACAAUGACCAAAUACAAAGUGGGGUCGGCGAGGAUACGUCAACACGGAGUCGGGGCCGAGGCAUUAGCAUCUGUUUUAAUUUUGAACUCUGGUACAAUAUACAGAAAUUGACCAUCUUUGCCAUUUGUAAAUGUACAGUUCAGUAGUGUUAAGUUCAUCACAUGAUUGUGCAACCUCCAGAAUUCUUUUCAUCUUGCAAAAUUGAAACUCUAUAACCAUUAAAAGAUAAUUCUCGCUUCUCCCAGCCCCUGGCAACCACCAUUGUGUCUGUCUCUAUCAAUUUGACUACCGUAGGUGCCUCCUAUAAGUGCAAUCAUACAGUAUUUGUCGUCUUUUGUGACUGGCUUAUUUCAUUCAGCACAACGUCCUCAAGGUUUAUCCAUGUGAUAGUUUGUGUCAGAAUUUCCUUGAUUUUAAAGCGGAGUAAUAUUCCCUUACAUGUAUAUACCAUCCAUAAAAAAAAGACAAAAUCAUCCCACUUGCAACAACAUGGAUGGACCUUGAAGGUUUUAUGUUAAGUGAAGUGAGCCAGGCAGAGAAAGAUAAACACUGUAUGAUCCCAUUCAAAUAUGGAAGACGAACAAAUACAUGCACAAAGAGAACAGCUUAGCGGUUACUGGGGGAAGGAGGCUGGGGGGUGGGCACAAAGGGUGAAGGGGUGCAUAUGUAUGGUGACUGACAAAGAAUAACGUACAACUGAAAUUUCACGGUGUUGCAAACUAUCAUAACCUCAAUAAAAAAAAGUCCAAUAUAAAACAGUGUUGCAAUAUACUCCCUCUUGUGUAUGUCUAUAUAAUAAAUAUCUCACAUGCUGUACUCAUAUAAAAAAAAAAAUUAAGGGCUGGCCCCAUGGACGAGUGGUUGAGUUCCUGCACGCCGCUUCACUGGGCCAGGGUUUCACUGGUUCAGAUCCUGGGCACAGACAUGGCACUGUUCAUCAAGCCAUGCUGGGGCUGUGUCCCAUAUACCACAACCAGAAGGACCUGCAGGCAGCUAGAAUGUACAACUAUGUACUGGGGGGCUUUGGGGAGAAGAAAAAAAAAAGAUUGGCAACAGAUGUUAGCUCAGCUGCCAAUCCUAAGAAAAGAAAUUAGCAAAUGAAAUCAACAACACAUAAAAAGAAUUAUACACCAUGACCAAGUAGGAUUUAUCACAAGUAUGCAAGGCUGGUUCAACACUCCAAAGUUAAUUAAUGUUAUCCAUCACAUCAAUAGGCUAAAAAAAACCCCACAUGAUCAUUUCAAUAGGUUCAGGAAAAGCAUUUGACAAAAUCCAAACCUAUUCAUGAUAAAAACUCUCAGUAAACAAGGAGUAGCCAGGAACUUGCUCAACUUGAUAAAGAAUAUCUACAAAAAUCCUACAGCUAACAUCAUACUCAAUGAUGAGAAAUUCGAAGCUAUCCCACUAAGAUCAGGUAUGAGGAUGUCCCCUCUCAUUACUCCUUUUCAACAUCGUACUGGAAUUUCUAGUUAAUGCAAUAAGACAAAAAAAGGAAAUAAAAAGCAUAUAGAUUGGGGAGGAAGAAAUAAAGCUGUUUUUGUUCACAGAUGACAUGAUCAUCUAUUUAGAAGAUCUGAAAAAAUAAACCAAGAUAACUCCUGAAACUAACAAGGGAUUACCGCAAGGUUGCAGGAUACAAGGUUAAUAUACAAAAGUCAACUGCUUUCUUAUAUACCAGCAAUGAACAAGAGAAAUUUGAAAUUAACAACACAUCAUUUACAUUACCAUCCUCAAAAAUGAAAAGCUUAGAUAUAAAUUCGGGAAAACAUGUACAAGAUCUAUAUGCGGAAAACUACAAAACUGUGAUGAAAGAAAUCAAAGAACUAAAGAAAUGCAGAGAUACUCCAUGUUCAUGGAGAAGAAGACUCAAUAUUGUCAAGAUCCCAGUUCUUCCUAACUUCAUCUAUAGAUUCAGUGCUAUCCCAAUCAAAAUCUGAGCAAGCAAUUUUGGGAGUAUUGACAAAUUGAUUCUAAAGUUUAUAUGAAGAGGCAAACCCAGAACAGCAAAAACACAACACUGAAGGAGAACAAAGUUGGAGGACUGACACUACCCAACUUCAGGCUACAAGUAAUCAAGACAGUGUGGGAUUGGCAAAGAAAAGACGAACAGAUCAAUGGAAAGGAAUAGAGAGCCCAGAAAUAGACCCACAUAAAUACAGCCAACUGAUAUUUGACAAAAAAGAAAAGGCAGUUAAAUGGAGAAAGGAUAGUCAUUUCAACAAAUCGUGUCAAAACAACUGGACAUCCAUGAGUAAAGAAACAAACAAACAAAAAACACCUAAUCUAGACAUGGAUCUUACACUUUUCUCAAAAAUUAACUCAAAAUGGAUCAUAGACCUAAAUGAAAAAGGGAAAAAUAUAAAACUCCUAGAAGAUAACAUAGGAGAAAACCUAGAUGACUUUGGGUACAGUGAUGACUUUUUAGAUAAAACACCAAAGACACAACCCAUGACAGACAUAAUUGAUAAGUUGUACUUAAUUUAAAACUUCCACUCUGUGAAAGACAAAGUCAAGAGAGCAAGAUGACAAGCCACAGGAUGGGAGAAAAAAUUUGCAAAAGGCAUUUCUGAUAAAUGAUUAUUAUCUAAAAUAUAAAAAGAACUCUUAAAACUCAACAAUAAGAGAACAAUCUGAUUUAAAAAGGGACCCAACGGGGGCUGGCCCUGUGGCCUAGUGGUUGAGUUCAGUGUGCCUCGCUUCAGCGGCCCGUGUUCCCGGGUACGGACUUACACCACUCGUCAGACAUGCUGUGGCGGUGACCCACAUAUAAAAUAGAGGAAUAUUGGGGGCCAGCUCCGUGGCACAGCGGUUAAGUUCACACAUUCUGCAUCAGUGGCCCAGGGUUCACUGGUUCAGAUCCUGGGUGCGGACCUACGCACUGCUUAUCAAGCCAUGCUGUGGCAGGCGUCUCACAUAUACAGAGGAAGAUAGGCACAAAUGUUAGCUCAGGGCCAAUCUUCCUCAGCAAAAAGAGGAGGAUUGGUGGCAGAUGUUAGCUCAGAGCUAAUCUUCCUUAAAAAAAUAAAAAUUGAGGAAGAUUGGCACAGAUGUUAGCUCAGGGCUCAUCUUCCUCAGCAAAAGACCCCACCCCGCACAAGACCCUAACAGACGUCUCACCAAAGAAGAUAUACAGAUGGCAAAUAAGCAUUUGAAAAGAUGCUCCACAUCAUAAUUCAUCAGGGAAAUGCAGAUCAGAACGAGAUACCACUAAACACCUAUUAGAAUGGCCAAAUAGCAGAAUACUGACAAGAGCCAAUGCUGAGGAUGUGGAGCAACAGGAACUCUCAUUCUUUGCUGCUGGGAGUGCAAAAUGAUACAGCAACUCUGGAAGAUAUUUUGGCAGUUUCUUACAAAUCUAAACAUACUCCUACCAUAUGAUCCAGCAAUCAUGCCCCUUGAUAUUUACUCAAAGGAGAUGAAAACUUACGUCUGCACAAAAACCUGCACACCGAUGUUUACAGCAGCUUUACUCAUAACUGCCAAAACUUGGAAGCAACCAACAUGUCCCUCAGUAUGUGGAUGGAUAAAGAAACUCUGGUACAUCUAGACAAUGGAAUAUUAUUCAGCAUUUAAAAGAAACGAGCUAUCAAGCCCUGAAAAGACAUGGAGGAACUUUAAACACAUAUUACUAAGUGAAAUAAAUCAAUCUGAAAAGUCUACAUACUGUAUGAUUCCCACUAUAUGGCAUUCUGGAAAAGGCAAAACUGGAGAUAGUAAAAAGAUCAGUGAUUACCAAAGAUUAGAGGGGAGGGAUGAAUUGGCAGAGUACAGAGGAUUUUCAGGGCAGUAAAAAUACUCCUUGUGAUACCGUGUUAACAGAUACAUGUCAUUAUACAUUUGCCCAAACCAGUAGAAUGUAUAUGACCAAGAGUGAACUGUAAUGUAAACUAUGUACCUUGGGUGAUUAUCAUGAGUCAAUGUAGGUUCAUCAACUGUAACAAAUGUAGCACUCUGGUUGGGGAUGCUGAUAAAAGGGGAGGCUCUCCAUGUGUAAGGGCAGGGAGUAUAUGGGAAAUCUCUUAUCUACCCCUCAAUUCUGCUGUGAACCUGUAAAAUGCUCUAAAAAAUAGUCUUAAUUAAAAAAAAUACAAGUGAGAGAGGUCAUGAUUGAUAGAGUGGGUGGGUACGGGAUCCAGGGCACAGAAAAAGGCUUAAGCUUUGAACAAGAUGAAGGAGCUUUUCCACUAAGCACAAGAGAGCAAGGGGGUAAAGACAGGUGCCUAGCUAUACUAAGAACUUCAAUAUUACAUAAUGGUGGCAUAAUGGCGGGAUUUAUGCUGUGAUUUACAAAGUUACUUGAUAAACUGUACACUUCAAAAUGGCUAAAUGGGGCCGGCUCCGUGGCCGAGUGGUUAAGUUCGCGCGCUCCGCUGCGGCGGCCCAGGGUUCGGAUCCUGGGUGUGGACAUGGCACCGCUCGUCAGGCCACGUCCCACAUCCCACAACUAGAAGGACCUGCAACUAAGAUAUACAACUAUGUCCCGGGGUGGGUUUGGGAAAUAAGGCAGAAAAGAGAAAGAAAAAAAAAUUGGCAACAGUUAGCCCAGGUGCCAAUCCUUAAAAAAAAAAAAGGAAGAUUGGCAACAGUUGUUAGCCUAGGUGCCAAUCUUUAAAAAACAAACAAACAAAAAAAAUGGCUAAAAUGGUAAUUUUUAUGCAUAUUUUACCACAACAAAAAACAUAUAUAAAAUUACUUGAUUACUACCCAAUUUCCAUAUUCUAAAAGGUUAGCGCUGACCAUUACAUUUCAUGGUUAGCUCAAGUUUAGUUUCUAUUUCACUAACUAUUCUAGAUUUUACAUAAGACAAGUCCUAUUUAACUUCUUGUGGCCAUGGGAAAAGAUGUAUUCCACUUUUUCCAGUUUACCUAUUCCUACUUAAUAGAAUAAACCAAAGAUCUUACCAUCUGAAAUACAUCAGAACCUUCAUCAAAAUCCACCAUACCGAAAAAUAUCCUGUUGGUUAAAUGCACUGGAGUAUCGCCAGGAGUUUGCCAGGAUCUGGAAUUCUUCAUCAGCUUGCCUGGAUGCAAUAUGAUUUUUGAAGAUAACGUAUAAAACAUUUUUCAAAGCAAUCUAGUUCAUCAGCAGGAAAACAUUCAAAGAAACAAGAGCAGUUUUUACAAUGGGGUAAAUAUUAAAAAAAAAAGACAAGCAAAUCAGGCACUACCGAGAGGGUUAGGACAACCCUUGGAAAACACUGCCAUUGUUUUGGCACAAAAGAAGCCUAAUCCCAACUGUUGGGGAUUUCAACAGAAAGUAGUAAUUACCUGCCUCCGCUUCAUAGUUUGUGCCUGUUUUCUUAUCUCAAAGCUCUUUCAAUAGUCGCUGGAAAAAUCCCAGCUAAUAGUCUCUACAACAAUUUUUUUUUAAUUAAGAUUAUGAUAGCUAACAACCUUGUGAAGUCCACAACAAUUUUAAUACCCUAAAUUACUUCUAGGAGUUGAAACACAAGAGUAAAGUAUUUCUCCAGAGAAAGUAGACGAUAACAUUAAUCCAUUAAAAAAAUCUAAAGUACAAAAUGCUACUGAGUAAAUAAAAAUACAGCCG
rnacentral:lncRNA from 1 species